rnacentral:rRNA from 1 species
UGAGGAAUAUUGGUCAAUGGGCGAGAGCCUGAACCAGCCAAGUAGCGUGCAGGAUGACGGCCCUAUGGGUUGUAAACUGCUUUUGUAUGGGGAUAAAGUCAAUCACGUGUGAUUGUUUGCAGGUACCAUACGAAUAAGGACCGGCUAAUUCCGUGCCAGCAGCCGCGGUAAUACGGAAGGUCCGGGCGUUAUCCGGAUUUAUUGGGUUUAAAGGGAGCGUAGGCUGGAGAUUAAGUGUGUUGUGAAAUGUAGACGCUCAACGUCUGACUUGCAGCGCAUACUGGUUUCCUUGAGUACGCACAACGUUGGCGGAAUUCGUCGUGUAGCGGUGAAAUGCUUAGAUAUGACGAAGAACUCCGAUUGCGAAGGCAGCUGACGGGAGCGCAACUGACGCUGAAGCUCGAAGGUGCGGGUAUCGAACAGGAUUAGAUACCCUGGUAGUCCGCACAGUAAACGAUGGAUGCCCGCUGUUGGUACGUGGUAUCAGCGGCUAAGCGAAAGCAUUAAGCAUCCCACCUGGGGAGUACGCCGGCAACGGUG